AUCAACUUCCCCUUCAAAGACCUCAGCUGGGAUCUUGCUUCGCCAAGGCAUAUAACAUACAAUUGUAUUGAACACAGCACUGGGACUUGUUUGGCCAAAAGAUGUACGUAGAUUGUGAAAUUUUUGAAAUUACUUAUGUAUGCAAAUUAAAACUAUGAGAUUUCAAGGGUGCCCUGGUUGAUGCUGAAUUUGCAUUGCGAGAAAGAGACGGGUAUGACAAAGCAUACUUUCGCCAGGGUCAGGUUAGUGUCCUUAUCUUUGCAACCUUUAUAUGUUAAUGUACCUAUAACCAUAACUUCUUUACAUUCUGAGUAGGAGGGAUUAAUCAUGUGUUAAUAGCAUUUUCUCCUUAAAAUUGAAUUGUGGCAGAUUCAAUAGUCAAUUAUAGGCUUCUACCAAAUUAUGUUAUUAGAGAGAGAAAACAUUAUGGGAUGAUGAACAAAUCUAGCAAGCAUCAUUCAUCAAUGACAUGACAUAAUAACUGUAAUUUAUUUAUAGUUGCAGGUUGCUUAUUAAUAAUCAUGAAUGUUGGAUAGCAUAUUAACAUUAAUAAGUGUAUUUAUGAGGAAAAUAAUAUCAUAUUAACUUGGCAUUUUAAUUUUUAUUCAAUAUUCAAUUUAAAACUUGACAACUCCCCAAUCUGAAUCCAAACAAGACUCAAAAGCGCAUCCAAAUCAUGUGGGACCCAUCAGUGUAUUCAGAGUAGUCGACAAAGAGGUCUGACAAUUUGUGGCUCAAUAUGAGCCACCGGUGGGUAGCUUUCAAUACAACUAACUUCACAUAUAUCUCAUCUAAUCAACAUAGAUAAUGGGAUUAUGCAAUAACAGUGACCUUUUGGUAGUUCUGGAAAGAGAAAAACGGACAACGGUUAGUAUUAUGCAUAAUUCAGUUUGACCUGCUCAAUGUUGGGGCUCCCACAACCAUCCUCAUACUCUUCGUGCUGGUACCUAUAUGCUUCUUAUUUUUUCUGUAAUGUAGACAAUUUAGCAUCAAUUAACUGUAGUCUGAUUGUACUUGUAUCCUCUAUGUAAUAGGUUGGAGCAAGGUUCCUAUCUUGGAAAAAGCAAAGAAUGGUAUCUUUAUUGAUCCUUAGUUCCAAAUAACACUUUGCGUUAUGAAUCCAUCAUAGGUUAUUUGGUUCCAGGGGUUGGUUGAUAUAUAUUUAGCUUAUCUUCUAAUAGUUUUAAGUUUUGGAUGAAGUUAGUUAAGAUUGAUAUACUUGUCGGCUCUCAACUCAUCAUCUUUCUGCUGUUCAUGUAAUUUUUCAUGACUAAUAUACGAAUUUCAAAAGGAAAAAA